GUUUAAUUUGUGUCCAAAAGUUAUGUACGAAACACUGUUACGACUCCGCGAAUAAACGUACGAAACACUGUGGCUGUCAACAUCCGGGAUUUCUGGCACUAAUCACAAUAAAUCGCUUCUAGGAUUGGUCACAGUUCACAAAGGUACUCCAAUGAGGGCUUGUUAUGUUGACAAGACCUUCCUCUUUUCAAUGAUGUAUACCGGAGACGUAGUGGUUACCGUCUCACUCAAUCAUCCUGGCGUAAGUGUAAUAGCGCGCCGAUCCUGAGGGGGCAGACUGUAUGGAACAGCGUGAACUUUUUCUAACGUUGAGACGCUUUGGCGGCAAAGAUGCAUUGUUACGUGAGUGCUAAUUAAGCUUUACGCCUGUGAAAAAAUUCCAACACUAGAAGCAAUCUAACGUUGAAGUAGAAUCUACCAUUCCACAGCUGCGGUAAACCUGAACGUUAACGUUUUGUCGCCUGCUGUACUCCAAGAUUUGCUCAUAAUUAAUCUUUCAGAGGGUUUCUGUAAUUACAGACAAGCACAGAGUAAUAGUCUUUUUCAAGACUUUUCCAUUCAGGUCUUCCACAUCCACGUGGUUGUGUUGCAGACUUGAAGUUCAGCACAGAGUAAUAGUUUUUUUUAAGACUUUUCCAUUCACGUCUUCAUUGGUUGUGUUGCAGACUUGAAGUUCAGGCUUGUUCCAGACCAGACCAGUUUGGUGGCUGGGUGCCUGUCUGUGCACAACAAUCAUCAUCGCUCACAACAUAACCUACUAAUACCUACAAACAUAUCUGAGCACAUACCUAUCUGAACAUAUCUGAGCACAUACCGAGACUUCUACUAAGAUUUAUCCUGAGAACUAUCUGAGCACAUACUGAGACUUCUACUAAGAUUUAUACUGAGAAUUCUACUAAGAUUUAUCCUGAGAACUAUCUGAGCACAUACUGAGACUUUCUACUAAGAUUUAUACUGAGAUUUAUCCUGAGAACUAUACUGAGAUUUAUCCUGAGAACUAUCUGAGCACAUACUGAGACUUAUUCUGAGAACCAUACCUGUGAAUCAUAUCUGAACAUAUCUGAGCACAUACUGAGACUUCUACUAAGAUUUAUGCUGAGAAUUCUACUGAGAUUUAUCCUGAGAACUAUACUGAGACUUAUUCUGAGAACCAUACCUGUGAAUCAUAUCUGUCAGCCAUUCAUACCUUUGAAUCGUACCUGUGUUGUGAAAUCUGUGAAACUUAGCUGUGCUGUUAGACCUCUGCUUUUAGACCUGAACUGUGCGAAGAUUGAGAUUCUAACCUUGAUUUUGUCUAAAACUGACCACCUGAAGGGCUGACUCUUAUUCUUCAGUCUACAUCACCAUCAAAUACCAUUAACUGAGACCUCUGUUUCUCUGUUGACCAUCUGAUCUCUCCCUGACCAUUAAAUUAUUCUGUAGCUUCA